GGCUUGGGUCAGCGUUCAGAACC
rnacentral:siRNA from 1 species